rnacentral:rRNA from 1 species
CCUACGGGAGGCAGCAGUAGGGAAUCUUCCACAAUGGGCGAAAGCCUGAUGGAGCAACGCCGCGUGUAUGAAGAAGGUCUUCGGAUCGUAAAACCCUGUUGUUGGAGAAGAAAGUGCGUGAGAGUAACUGUUCACGUUUCGACGGUAUCUAACCAGAAAGCCACGGCUAACUACGUGCCAGCAGCCGCGGUAAUACGUAGGUGGCAAGCGUUAUCCGGAUUUAUUGGGCGUAAAGGGAACGCAGGCGGUCUUUUAAGUCUGAUGUGAAAGCCUUCGGCUUAACCGGAGUAGUGCAUUGGAAACUGGGAGACGUGAGUGUAGAAGAGGAGAGUGGAACUCCAGGUGUAGCGGUGAAAUGCGUAGAUAUAUGGAAGAACACCAGUGGCGAAAGCGGCUCUCUGGUCUGUAACUGACGCUGAGGUUCGAAAGCGUGGGUAGCAAACAGGAUUAGAUACCCGAGUAGUC